rnacentral:rRNA from 1 species
AGAGUUUGAUCAUGGCUCAGAACGAACGCUGGCGGCGUGAUAAGACAUGCAAGUCGGACGAGAUUUUUCGCUGUAGCAAUACGGUGGAAAGUCUAGUGGCGAACGGGUGCUUAACACGUGGGCAACCUGCCGAGAAGUGGGGGAUAGCUCGCCGAAAGGCGAAUUAAUACCGCAUGUGAUUAGAGUGGACAUCCAUUCGAAAUUAAAGUCGGGGCAACCUGACGCUUUUUGUGGGGCCCGCGGCCUAUCAGCUAGUUGGUGGGGUAACGGCCCACCAAGGCUUUGACGGGUAGCUGGUCUGAGAGGACGACCAGCCACACUGGGACUGAGACACGGCCCAGACACCUACGGGUGGCAGCAGUCGAGAAUUUUUCUCAAUGGGGGAAACCCUGAAGGAGCGACGCCGCGUGGAGGAUGAAGGUCUUCGGAUUGUAAACUCCUGUCAUUGGGGAACAAGUCGCUUACGUUAACUGCGUGAGCGUUGAUAGUACCCGAAGAGGAAGAGACGGCUAACUCUGUGCCAGCAGCCGCGGUAAUACAGAGGUCUCAAGCGUUGUUCGGAUUCAUUGGGCGUAAAGGGUGCGUAGGCGGCGCGGUAAGUCGGGUGUGAAAUCUCGGAGCUUAACUCCGAAACUGCAUUCGAUACUGCCGUGCUUGAGGACUGGAGAGGAGACUGGAAUUUACGGUGUAGCGGUGAAAUGCGUAGAUAUCGUAAGGAAGACCAGUGGCGAAGGCGGGUCUCUGGACAGUUCCUGACGCUGAGGCACGAAGGCCAGGGGAGCAAACGGGAUUAGAUACCCCAGUAGUCC